GAUGAACGCUGGCGGCGUGCCUAAUACAUGCAAGUCGAGCGAACGGACGAGAAGCUUGCUUUUCUGAUGUUAGCGGCGGACGGGUGAGUAACACGUGGAUAACCUACCUAUAAGACUGGGAUAACUUCGGGAAACCGGAGCUAAUACCGGAUAAUAUUUUGAACCGCAUGGUUCAAAAGUGAAAGACGGUCUUGCUGUCACUUAUAGAUGGAUCCGCGCUGCAUUAGCUAGUUGGUAAGGUAACGGCUUACCAAGGCAACGAUGCAUAGCCGACCUGAGAGGGUGAUCGGCCACACUGGAACUGAGACACGGUCCAGACUCCUACGGGAGGCAGCAGUAGGGAAUCUUCCGCAAUGGGCGAAAGCCUGACGGAGCAACGCCGCGUGAGUGAUGAAGGUCUUCGGAUCGUAAAACUCUGUUAUUAGGGAAGAACAUAUGUGUAAGUAACUGUGCACAUCUUGACGGUACCUAAUCAGAAAGCCACGGCUAACUACGUGCCAGCAGCCGCGGUAAUACGUAGGUGGCAAGCGUUAUCCGGAAUUAUUGGGCGUAAAGCGCGCGUAGGCGGUUUUUUAAGUCUGAUGUGAAAGCCCACGGCUCAACCGUGGAGGGUCAUUGGAAACUGGAAAACUUGAGUGCAGAAGAGGAAAGUGGAAUUCCAUGUGUAGCGGUGAAAUGCGCAGAGAUAUGGAGGAACACCAGUGGCGAAGGCGACUUUCUGGUCUGUAACUGACGCUGAUGUGCGAAAGCGUGGGGAUCAAACAGGAUUAGAUACCCUGGUAGUCCACGCCGUAAACGAUGAGUGCUAAGUGUUAGGGGGUUUCCGCCCCUUAGUGCUGCAGCUAACGCAUUAAGCACUCCGCCUGGGGAGUACGACCGCAAGGUUGAAACUCAAAGGAAUUGACGGGGACCCGCACAAGCGGUGGAGCAUGUGGUUUAAUUCGAAGCAACGCGAAGAACCUUACCAAAUCUUGACAUCCUUUGACAACUCUAGAGAUAGAGCCUUCCCCUUCGGGGGACAAAGUGACAGGUGGUGCAUGGUUGUCAUCAGCUCGUGUCGUGAGAUGUUGGGUUAAGUCCCGCAACGAGCGCAACCCUUAAGCUUAGUUGCCAUCAUUAAGUUGGGCACUCUAAGUUGACUGCCGGUGACAAACCGGAGGAAGGUGGGGAUGACGUCAAAUCAUCAUGCCCCUUAUGAUUUGGGCUACACACGUGCUACAAUGGACAAUACAAAGGGCAGCGAAACCGCGAGGUCAAGCAAAUCCCAUAAAGUUGUUCUCAGUUCGGAUUGUAGUCUGCAACUCGACUACAUGAAGCUGGAAUCGCUAGUAAUCGUAGAUCAGCAUGCUACGGUGAAUACGUUCCCGGGUCU
rnacentral:rRNA from 1 species